rnacentral:rRNA from 1 species
GGACGAACGCUGGCGGCGUGCUUAACACAUGCAAGUCGAACGGAAAGGCCCUGCUUUUGUGGGGUGCUCGAGUGGCGAACGGGUGAGUAACACGUGAGUAACCUGCCCUUGACUUUGGGAUAACUUCAGGAAACUGGGGCUAAUACCGGAUAGGAGCUCCUGCUGCAUGAUGGGGGUUGGAAAGUUUCGGCGGUUGGGGAUGGACUCGCGGCUUAUCAGCUUGUUGGUGGGGUAGUGGCUUACCAAGGCUUUGACGGGUAGCCGGCCUGAGAGGGUGACCGGCCACAUUGGGACUGAGAUACGGCCCAGACUCCUACGGGAGGCAGCAGUGGGGAAUAUUGCACAAUGGGCGGAAGCCUGAUGCAGCAACGCCGCGUGCGGGAUGACGGCCUUCGGGUUGUAAACCGCUUUCGCCUGUGACGAAGCGUGAGUGACGGUAAUGGGUAAAGAAGCACCGGCUAACUACGUG